rnacentral:lncRNA from 1 species
GUUACUAUAAAAAUGAUAUCCCUGACUGUAAUUAUUUUACUUUGUAAUUUAUAGUCGUAAAUAUCAUAUUUUUCUAACAGUGCGAUUGUGCCGCGAUCUCCGUUACGUAUCUUCUUUUCUCCUCCACCCGUGCGAGCUUGCAUGCGCAAAUAGCUGUGUAUUAGGUGUAUAUUCGCCCUAAUUUUGCCAGAGGACUAGAUUUUCAAGCCGGCACAAAUCGCCCGUUAACGACAAUAAUUUCUCAAGACUUUUACUACUCUCUUUAAUAUCUUGAAAUUUCUUUUAUUUUUUAAGGCGUUUGGCUAAUUUGAGACUUCCUGUCGAUAUCGACUAUCUUAUUAUUCUAUUGUGCAUGACUAAAAAAUUAGAUCAUGCGCUUUCUUUCCAAUGGAUUUCCGGUUUAGCUUGUCUAAAUGCGCGUUACUUGCGCGCAUGAGAAGAAUACAAAUGUGCCGUCGUACAGGAACGUAUAAUUCACCUGCAUAUAAAUCGUUAUGUUAACAUGGCUCUUUCACGAGAAAAUUUGAAAUUAUUUUUUUACAUACAACCUUGACCUGAGAUUUAGUGUAAUAAUGCAAAAAAGAUUAAAUGUUGUUAUAAUAUAAAACGAUUAUUACAAUUACAUUGAAAAAAGAGUUUGAUAAUAGCGAUCAAAUGUUAAGUUAAAUAAUGAAACAAUUAAAUAUUUAAUUAUAUAACCAAGCAUAACUUUACUUUUCUAAAUACUCACUAAGUAAUGCAAAUAUAUUUAAUAAUAUUGACUAAAUAUUAGAAAGGUAAAAUUAUUUUUGAUCAUAUUAAUCGAAUAUUUCUUAUAUUGACGUUGUUUGAUUCAACAUGCUAUUACUAUAUUAUGUAGUAUUAUGUAGUAAGUAUUAAACUACUAAAUGUAUUUUAUUAUUUCUUGAUGGCAAGCACAUAUUAUGAGGAAUAAGCAUUUGUCAUAAAACGCUGAAAAAUUUGACAGCUUCUACAAAUCUGCAAAUAUAGUCGCGAUGUAACGCGAAUACAUCUUGAAUUUCGCACCGUUCACUUAGCUUUACUGUCUGCCUCGUCAUUUUCAGAAAUGUAUGAAUCUUCGGUGCUGCAUUUCGCGGUGUAAAGUUCUUUUCCUCUACCUCGAGGUACGUCAGGCGCGGAACGGUGAAUUUGCAUAAUGCGGAUAAUUUAUUAACGUUGUACGCAUUCGCCGAUGAAAUUGCGUGCACGCUUUUCCUUUUGGACAUGUCGAUAGUUUUAUCGAUUUGAAUAUUUCUGUAGUGUUGGUCGUCAGGGCUGCACGCGGAGAAAAUAUAUUGAAUCGAGAAAAACAUGUUGUUUCGAAAAAUAAUACGUUAAAUUUUUAAUGAAUUUUUCUAAUAAUAUAUUAUUUUAAUAAUAAUAAUUUUAAUAUUAAUCUUUGAAUUUCUAAAUGUCGAAAAAAAUUGAAAUCAAUUAUCUUUUAGUGUACGGUAUAUUUUUUUACUUUUAUACGACUUUUGUCGUACUUUACUGUACGGCAGGAUUCUUAUUAAAAUUCUUAUUAAGAUCCAAGUUGCGCUCCGGCUCGUAUUUUUCCGUGGUUUUUUUUAUCCCUUUGAAGCUUUUGGACGGAGAAGCGGCAACAUUUCCCCGGGCCGGACAUUGCCUCUUGGACUCGCGCGGCGACCGGCGUAUGCAUAUGCAUUAUGCAAACGACGAAAUGAGGAGUCAGAGUUCGCGGUCGCGCGAACCGGAACGCGCGCGGGGGAAAAACGCGUGUCAUCGUUUCUCGCGCUUAACCCUUAACAAGACGGUUGGCCGGUAAACCAUGCACCGGAGAUUACGCGUAGCGAUAAGGACCGAGCGUAUAAAAGAGCGUAAAAUACAUGCGACUUAAGGUAGAAUAUGCUCAUUGGAGUUCCCGCUGACGUCUGUCAGUGGCUGUGCACGUGGCACGCUCGCGGCAAGCGGCGGAUUUCUCCGUUUUCCGGUAGAAAAAAGAAAGGGAAAAACUUCCGCAUUUAAUUCGGAGUAAUUUUAGAAAAACGAAAGUUAAUCUGGCCGAAUCGAAAUAAUGGAUGUAUAUUCAUCCGAGACCGAGACUUUCUCCUGUGCGAGGCGGAUAUCCUUAACAAAGUUAAGUCUGGAUUUGUGUUUGGAAUGAGAUGUGUGAUUUCGAACGAGAUUGCCAUGUUUUUCGCGCACAAUAUGCAAGGCUGGUUAUCGGGCUAUAUCUCGCGAGAUACGCGAGAAGAUUAGUGGGGAAACACGGAAAGGCAAGAUGUACGGAAAUGGUUUACAUUAUUGAACAUCAAAUUAGAUAUAAAAGAGCGUCGGAUACUUACUUAGGAAAAUGUCUCAAACACAUUAUACGUCUAUCAAAAUUGAACUGAUUUUUUUUGCAGCAAAAAAUUCGAAAGUCUAAUUACGUAGGAAUUAAUUACUUCGCGCCGGAUAAUAAUUAUUUGUUGAAAAAAAAAAGUUAGCGUUACGACAACGUGCGUACGAUGUUUGUUCUUGAUAGCCUCCUAGACGGUUAACGAUAAUAGGUACAUCUGAGAAAUUUCCGAGGAGGACUCCGCGCUGCGGUGAAAUCGUUUGUGUGCCGGUUUCGCAACGGCCUGCAAGCCGCGCGCAGUUGAGUCAGGCGUGUAGCUUUUCAAGUUUCUAUCGCGCGCGCAGACCACCACGGGCGUCGAUGAACUCUCGGUGCGAGGAUGUUGUUGAACUGUCGGGGGUAAUAAGAUAUUAUUCUUCGGUCGAGCGGCGAAUACGAUAAUGGACACCGGUACCUCUGCCUUUAUGUAAUCGCCGCACGCGACGAGGGCACGGAGGGUACUAAAGCUGGUGCCGUGAGGUGGCGAAAACGUACAUUUUUCCCGUCAAGGUUGACGUGUCUUACAGAAAAAAAUUUACAUUUCGGACUUUGCGUCGCGAUAUCCCCGCUCAUAAGGUACAUUGAGGAAAGAUGAACAGUUUUAUGAUACAUAUAGAGCCGUUUCUACCAACGCAGAUUAACUUUAAUCUCAGUUUAAUUUACUUGUUAUCUCAUUCUAGUUCCAAAAAGUUAGAAAGAGAUAAAGAGUAAGUUAAUCCGAGAUUAAAGUUAAUUUACGUUGGUAGAAAUGGGCCUUACAAGUUAUCUAUCGAUUAAGCCUAGUUAGAACUUGACCGUUGUUUUCAAAAUUUGACAAUCUCGGAUGUUCGCAACUCUCGCCGGCAAUUACAGUGAGUAUGGCUCUCAAUAUGGUAUUCACAUUAUUCACAAUGGCGAUCUAAAUUGGGAUUGUCCUCUCUAACUACACUUUCUUUACUUGUUAUCUAUUUUCUUCUUUUCUUUGGAGAGCAAACGCACUUUAAGUCACUCACUUUAAGUGUAGAAAGCGUUGGGGGGGGGGGAAGGAGGGAAAAAAUCGCUGGAUAGAGCGCAUUUGAUAUGCUAACGAGGUGCCGGGGAAAGAAUUCACAUUAGCGAGUUUUUGUAACGUUAUUGAGGCUCUCUGCGAAGUAUAUAACGAGAAUUUCUAGAAUAUAAUUGAAAAGCAUCAGUAACGAGAACAUGGCCAUUAGUACAAGUCAAACGUACGGAGUCAGUUGCUUCUCUUUUCCCCCUUUUAUCUUUUUACUCUUACAACCGAUGUAACGCUGGAGAAUUAUCAGCCAGGGGUCCGCGACACACUGGCUUACAUAAGGUUUCGCAUACCUCCGCGUAUACACCUCCGUAGGACGAAGGAUAAUACAAGCACGGGCGUGAGCGUGUGUGCGAGGACCGGUCCGUAAAAGGAGGGCAGUCAGGCUUUGGGGGUCGAAUUUUGAAUCACCAAUUUCCAUUUGUCCCUGGGCAAUGAAUGUUCCGGCUCCUUAUAAUUGAAUUAACUGUUUGAUUGCGCGCUUUACACGAGAAACGAACGGCUCGCAUAACAUUGUGAUCGAUAUUUUCGCCAUGCGUAGGGAAAAUUAAACGAAUUAAAAGUGUGUUACGAAUUUACAUUUAUAUAACGGCGUAAUAUUAUUAAUUCUGAUAUAAUGUAAUUUUUAUUAAUAGCAGGAGUCGUUUUAAAAGUCACGAUUAAAUAAGUAGUACACAUUUUAAUUUGUAAAUUUUAUUUUUAUAGAAAGCGUUGUAUAACAAGGGGGAACUUUACAAGUUUAAUAAAAUAUUCAAUAUUUUUCAUACUUAUUAUUCCGGUAUCUUUAAAAAUAAGAGGAUUGCAACUGGUUUUACGUGCUCUGCACGUGCGAUUAUUGAUGGGAGAAAUGAUAGAUCAUAAAAUCAAGAAAGUAAAAUCCAGCUGCAUCAUCGAGCGUUGUCGUAUGCUGCGGGUAAUCAUUAGAUGACUUAAGUAGGCGUCUAAUCGUUAGUUGCGACUCGUAAUAAUAAAGACAUACGUCGUUGGUUCUCCUGAAAAAAAAAAAAAAAAAAAAAAAAAAAAAAAAAAAGAACCAUAAAGGAAGAUUGUCAUUUUUGAUUAUGUAUGAAGCGAUAAUACACAGAAUAGUUGUCUCCCAACAAAGGAGUCAAAACAGCGUACGUUUCCUCUUUAACGAUUGCGUAACUUCUCGCUCGCACAUGGGACAUAAAUAAAAGCGCCUGAGUCAUAAAUAAUGACGCUAAUUUUCCACCGCGAAUGGUUUUUCGCGAAACGCGAAACUAGGCGAGCCGCGCGCAUCAGCUGAUCCGAGAGAUCGUCGCGAGAUUAGUUUCUCGCGGACUCGGAGAACUUCCACGGAGAUAGCGAUCGUUCAUUUCAACUACCACCGCAGGACAAAGUCGUUUUCGUGCUCGUUAGGAAAUACCACCGCGUUGCUACCGAUUUCUACUUUUUUUUUUCCUUUAACGUGACACCCGACGUAAUCUUGCAAUGUUAUGACUGCGAGAGCCACGCAAAUGUACGGGCAUUCUCGAUGGUGAUGGCCCGAGGAAGCCGAUGUCUGGGCAGGCGAAGCGAAUGUAGCAUAACAAAUUACGCAAGUAUCUCUCUUUCUCUUUCUCUCCUCUCUCAACGACGCGAUGCGCGCGCGUAUAAAACAUUCUUCGUGCCUCCGUUCGCUCUUACUUUUUGCCGGGAGGAUCGGGCGGCUGCUUUCUUUUCCGCGUGUUAAAGGGAUUUGCUUGCUCGGAAACGCGGGCACAAUAAUUAUCGCCGUUCGCUAUUGCGAUUCACGGAACGUUCGACGUUAUCCCUCGCGAAAAGUGGUCUUUCUCCAGGAUUCCUUUUAACCUUUUUCCCUUUAACGAUUCGCCGACGAUCGUCGCGGCGACGAUCUUCCCGACGGGAUUGAGAACGUCGCGCGGCGAGAAGAUGGCGAUCGUUAAAUCGCGCGGGACACGACUACACCGCGGAACUAACGCGCGAGACUGAACUGACGCGCGCGUUUCUUUCUUUCUUUCCCCGACGACUUGGUCUCGCGCCAUUGUAUCAGCUGUCCUCCUUUUAAUGGCGGGCGGAAUUACGAGGCUGCGUUUAAUUGAGAACCGACGGCGUGGCGGCGCGAACUCGAAUCGCGCGCCGAGGAUAACGGUGCGUUUUUAUUACCUCGUUGGCCUGGAACAAUCGACAAGUCGGAUUCGCUCCGGCCGGCCCGGCUCCGAUCGGGGCAUUUUUCCAUUUCUACGUCCGGUGCGGAAGUAUGAUCCGGCUACGUGUGAUACUUCCUCGAGAUUUCAUUGGCGACCAUUCGUCUGCGCGAGAGUGUUAAUUUUGACCCAAUUGGAUAAAAUUUCCAUUUUUGUAAUUGGUUAGCGGCGAGCACGCGCGCGCGCGCAUAUAACGGGAAAUUCUCAAUUAAAUUAAUUUGCUUCGAUUUUAUUAUUAUUAUUAAAAUUCCUUGGCGUGCCGCAUUGCAUAAUGCAUUUGCGAUGCAUUACUUGUAUAAAUAAUUUUGCUCGGUUUUUAAAUAUAGGCUUUCUUUUUGUUAAAAUGGAAAAUUAUUACUAGAAAAACUUGGAAUUUUAAGGAAAUUUAUUUAUUUAUCCUUGAAAAUUUAUGUAUUUUUAUUUGAUUUAUUAUGAUUUUAUAAUACUCAGGAAAAAUUUUAAAAUACUUAUAAAUUUUAAUUCUAUUUUUUUCUGGUAAAAUGAUCUGAUUCUUUUAUAAUGCAAAAUUGAUUAGUAAUAAAUAUGGCAUACAUAUCCGCAUACGUUUUCAUAUAACUCGCAAUUUUUUAUUUAAAAACUUAGUAACAGUACAGCGUUCUAAAUUGGGAUAAUGUAUUUAAUCAUCUUUCUAUAUUUCCGGUGAGUUAGAUCGGAUAUUGCGGACAGAUCUUUACAGAUCGUUACAUACCAUUUAGUUCACACAUAUUUCUUUAAACAAUUUUUUUAAUUUUAAACUUUAAAACUUUAAACAAUUAACAUUUAAAAUUUAAAUAAUUUUUUUGUUAUUGUACGAUUAAGAAACAAAAAAUGUAUACAAUAUAAUAAAGCAAUUUUUUUAUAUUAGUUACAUUGAACAAUUCUGUAAUCUCACAUGGAAUUUUGAAUAAACUUCCUGGAAAAUCCGGGAAUUCUUUAACAAAAUUUCAGCAAACGUUCUGUUAAUGGCAUCAAUUUUUCAAAUGAGAGAAGGUAAAAAGGAAAAGAUAAAAUAAUUAACUUCCGUAUCAUUCAUUCAAGUUUAUUAGAUACAAAGUGCAAUGGCCGUGAGUAUAAAAAAAGCAAUCGCGAAUAGGAAAUAUUAGUUUUAUCUGAUGCAUUAUCUAAAACUAUUAGAAAUUUCUUUCGCGCCUAAGAGAACCCGCAAUUAUAUUCAAAACAUAUGAUGUUGAUGCAGGAAGCUACAUGUUGCAUAAUUUAUCAGCGUCUUAAUAAUUUUAAAUCACAUGUGUCAUUUAAAUUACAAAUAAAUGCUUAUUGCGACAAUAGUGGACGAAACUUCUACUGGGGCUGUCUAAAAGCUGCCGGAUGAUCGUAGAAAAACUGAAGGAGGAGGAUACGCUCCUGUUCGCAGUCAGAAGUAACUUAUCAGAUCCUUGAUGUCAAUGGCGAGAUAGUGCAGGACAAUUAGGUUCCCUCUACAAAUUGUUUCAUCGUACCAGAUGUUAUCUCGUCUUAAUAAUCAGGUCUCAUUCAUUGUUCCACGAUGUUUAUUAUUGUCUCACAAGCGGCGAUAAUAGUCUCACAUGACUAGAGUCUCGGUGUCGCUUCCGGUGUAUGCAUUCUCUUCAGUCGAUGAUCGUAAACGAUACAUCUCGAAAAUGUGCCAGGAGCAAUAUACAGUUAAUUCGGCGCAAUAUAAUGUUUCUUCCUUGAAUCAUAAAUUCUUAAACAAAGGGAAUUUUUUCUUAGAAUUUAUUCUUAAAAUUGUGUUGUCAUAGAAUAAUAUGGUAGGGGAAAAUUGCUUAACGUUAGUCGUCUAAAUCGUAUUUUGUUAAUAUAAUAAAACUUAAAUGGAUUCGGACUCUACCUUGUUUUGGAGAAGUUUUUACCAUAAUUUUAUAAAAUUUAGAAAAAUUUAAACAAAUUAUUUUACAGUUGAUUGUAGUACAUAUUACUAACAGUCAGAGAAAAUCAUAAAAUUUCCUCGAACCACCCUGUUGUGUCUACAUAGAUUUUAAAAGGAUAAAUUACAAGAGAAAAAAAUCUUUGUAAAUAUAUCUCAGGUAUCGAUAUAUCUCUCUGGAGAAGAAAGGAUUGACUGCUCGCGAUAUUACACAUCCAAUUAAAUCCUCAGGCAAUCCGAGAGAGAUCGACGAUUAAUAAAGCGGGGAGGACAAUCCAGGAAGUGCGAGAAUCGCGGCAUCUCGUCAGGAUGAUGCGGAGGAUGGAUCGAUGAGGAGGCUUCCAUACCGCCUCCCCGAGCCUCGUCUUGCGGACGAGAGGUCGCGAUUUUUUCGCAACGCUCGACGCCCACCCUGGGAUGAUUUAUUCGAAUUAUAAAUCGGCGAGACUCCCACGUAGAGACGCGUGCAACGUGCUGCCUUACCGCUCCGUUCGUGGGAGGUCGAACGCGUCAAUUAUUCCGCGACCCACGCCGCGCCGGCCGGGUUUGAUUUGUACACGUGAAAGUGUUAGAGCAUGUCACGAACCUUCGUGCGCCUAUCUUUCCGCACGCGUACGCGUACGAUCCGCUUGAUCCUUAUCCGGGGAAAGAAGUGUUUUACUUAAUCGAAUUGAAAGGCGAUUUUCACUGCUGCAGUAAUUAAUUUAACAGUGCGGAAGUGGCACUUGCGCGAAUUUAUCAUUUCUGGUGGGCAGUGUUUUGAUCAGUAUGUUCAUUAUAUCUUAAUUUAUCACUUGCUGUACGCAAUACUUUUGACCAAAGUCAAUAUAUUUAAUUUUUUACAUUUGUUAUUUUUUGAAAUUAUGUUAUUAAUUCUUUCGUACACCCGAAGAUAUUUUAAGUUCAAUGGAUUGCAUCUGUGAAAGAUUAAUCUUUGGUAAUUAAAUUAUUUUCUUUUUUUUCAAAAUAAAGCACGUUUAUUUUACAAAUUGAAAGUAAUAUGGUCACGAAUUUUUAAAAUAUUUUAAGCAGAUGGAACAACGAUUGAAUUCGAAACUUCUGUUUGCACGCUGUUUUUCACAAUAUAUCGUAAAGAAGUUUAUGUCGCUUUUAAAUUAAUAAAUAUCAAACUUGAUUGUUACUAAUUUAUAAAAGCUGGCUCCAGACUUUUGACAGUGCAAGUCUCGUUGCUACGCUCGUUUCCUUUGUUCGCGAAGUAGCACAUAAAUACGUGGAGAUGAAUGGUUCGGAUGGAAAAAGAAACGAAAGAUAUGAAGAAAAGUCGGAGACGUUGUCGUUGCGUUUGCGGGGAGUGCGAUCGGCCGCGCAUCGUCACAAAUAUGAUUAUACUCAUGCGGAAAGUAUUCUCAUUAAGUCGAGCCUUGUGGAAUAGAAGCUAUAAUCAUCAAGAUUCUUGCACCUGCAGGACCGGCUGCAACGACCGCUCGUCGUUCUCGGUGCAACGACGAUGACGACGUUUCUCCAGGGAGUAAGAUCGAUGCACCGCUCAAUGUAUUUUUACUCCGGUCGAUUAUUUUUACUUGUAUCCUGACGGUGGUAUCUCAAGUGUCCGCUCGGUACGAGAUCGGCUUGUACGAGAAAAAACUGUACCUGCUUCUUACACUGUUUGGAGCAACAUUAAUUGGAUAACGUAUUUACGCGUUUUAAUACAAUAUUUUAAUAAAAUAUAUUUCACGUAAUAUAAAUAAUAUACAUGAUUUAUAAUUAUUACACUUUAAUUAUUAGCUACAUAAUCACGCAAUUAUUCUAUGACGUCGUAUAUUCUAUGACGCGGCGUUUGCACUUACUAUUCGCAGAAUAGUAAGCUAAUUUCUCCGUCCCUCUUUUUUCUUUUUUUUAUUUUCUUUGUUCGUCUUUAUUUCCCUCGGAUAACCGCGCGACCGUCGUCGUAUAGCCCGCGAAACGAGUUUUGCAACUAGGCGACCUCCGCAAGGCGAACGAAGCUGCGGAUCGGGAGAACUUUGUCUUUCUCUUUUCUUUCGUGAACUCCCGAUGAAAAGGAGGAACACGAAAGACGAUCGAAAGAAGUCCCGCGCGCACGUUUGCAGUCUCCGUGUAUACGGAGAGUACAUGCCGAUGAUCGUCUCGUAAUAAAAUCAGAUGAUCGCGUCUCGCGGAUUCCGCUCUCGCGUGCAAGCGCGAAGGUAAUCAACCCACAUAAGCGAGUAAAUGCCCCGACCGCCAUCGGCGCGAGGAACGGAAGAGAGUGCCGCGCUACCAGAGAGAAUUCACGCAGGUAAAUGCGAGAGAUCCGCGACGUACGAGCAUGCAAGCCUCAAAUUGCAUCGGCGACAUGAUGCGCUAAUGAGGAAAGAGAACAUGAAGAGCAUAGAGAUGCGUCGUUUACGCGUACGUAAAUAAAUACAAAACGUCAUUAAAGACACUACCGGCUGGUACAUAAAAUAAAAAAAAUAUAAGUAUGCGCUAGGACUAAUGACACGCUCGGGUAUCCCGGAUAUUCGAAGUACGGAUAAUACCUGGGUACCCGUAUUCAUUGACACAAUCGUGUAUAAUAUUCGUAUCUUUUUUUUUACACAUAUAUUGUGAACUAUGCUAUUUUCUAUAAGAAGAUGAGAUUUUUAAUUCCACGAUUAACUGCAAUAGUUGCAACUUUUUUAAAAAUAUAUAAAAAUAUUUAUAUAUAUAUUUUUAAUUGUAUAUACUUUUUUAUUUAAAUCAUUUUUUAUGUAUAGCAAAAUGUUAUAAACUAUAUAAAAUGCGCACGUGGAAAAAACGAUUUUACUGAAGUAUCUAAAAAUUUGACCAGAGCUGUACAUAUCUGAAAAUAAUAUUUUCCAUAGACCAUCCGGGUAAUAUGAGUACACGAUUAUGUCAGCGAAUAUUUGAUACCAACUGUAGUCGCUGAUAAUGUAUUUUGGACAGUGAGCGGAUAUUCGAAUAUCUCACUGACCCAAUCAGUCCUAAUUGACACGUGGAGAAAAAUCUGACACAUUUACACCACAUAUGAAAAAUAACAUAAUGAUUAUAUAAAAAAAAAAGGAAAAA